CUACCCUUGACAUACAGUAAAUUUUGCAGAGAUGCAUUAGUGCCUUCGGGAAUACUGAUACAGGUGCUGCAUGGCUGUCGUCAGCUCGUGUCGUGAGAUGUUGGGUUAAGUCCCGCAACGAGCGCAACCCUCGCCCUUAGUUGCCAGCAUUCAGUUGGGCACUCUAAGGGGACUGCCGGUGAUAAGCCGAGAGGAAGGUGGGGAUGACGUCAAGUCCUCAUGGCCCUUACGGGCUGGGCUACACACGUGCUACAAUGGUGGUGACAGUGGGCAGCGAAGGAGCGAUCCCGAGCUAAUCUCCAAAAGCCAUCUCAGUUCGGAUUGCACUCUGCAACUCGAGUGCAUGAAGUUGGAAUCGCUAGUAAUCGCGGAUCAGCAUGUCGCGGUGAAUACGUUCCC
rnacentral:rRNA from 1 species